UGAGUGUUAUGAUGAUGGGGUUUAAACCCUUAGUCUAGCUCUGGUCUGCCGCUGAGAAUA
rnacentral:ncRNA from 1 species